rnacentral:rRNA from 1 species
GACGAACGCUGGCGGCGUGCUUAACACAUGCAAGUCGAACGGAAAGGCCCUGCUUUUGUGGGGUGCUCGAGUGGCGAACGGGUGAGUAACACGUGAGUAACCUGCCCUUGACUUUGGGAUAACUUCAGGAAACUGGGGCUAAUACCGGAUAGGAGCUCCUGCUGCAUGGUGGGGGUUGGAAAGUUUCGGCGGUUGGGGAUGGACUCGCGGCUUAUCAGCUUGUUGGUGGGGUAGUGGCUUACCAAGGCUUUGACGGGUAGCCGGCCUGAGAGGGUGACCGGCCACAUUGGGACUGAGAUACGGCCCAGACUCCUACGGGAGGCAGCAGUGGGGAAUAUUGCACAAUGGGCGGAAGCCUGAUGCAGCAACGCCGCGUGCGGGAUGACGGCCUUCGGGUUGUAAACCGCUUUCGCCUGUGACGAAGCGUGAGUGACGGUAAUGGGUAAAGAAGCACCGGCUAACUACGUGCCAGCAGCCGCGGUGAUACGUAGGGUGCGAGCGUUGUCCGGAUUUAUUGGGCGUAAAGGGCUCGUAGGUGGUUGAUCGCGUCGGAAGUGUAAUCUUGGGGCUUAACCCUGAGCGUGCUUUCGAUACGGGUUGACUUGAGGAAGGUAGGGGAGAAUGGAAUUCCUGGUGGAGCGGUGGAAUGCGCAGAUAUCAGGAGGAACACCAGUGGCGAAGGCGGUUCUCUGGGCCUUUCCUGACGCUGAGGAGCGAAAGCGUGGGGAGCGAACAGGCUUAGAUACCCUGGUAGUCCACGCUGUAAACGGUGGGUACUAGGUGUGGGGUCCAUUCCACGGGUUCCGUGCCGUAGCUAACGCUUUAAGUACCCCGCCUGGGGAGUACGGCCGCAAGGCUAAAACUCAAAGGAAUUGACGGGGCCCCGCACAAGCGGCGGAGCAUGCGGAUUAAUUCGAUGCAACGCGUAGAACCUUACCUGGGUUUGACAUGGAUCGGGAGUGCUCAGAGAUGGGUGUGCCUCUUUUGGGGUCGGUUCACAGGUGGUGCAUGCCUGUCGUCAGCUCGUGUCGUGAGAUGUUGGGUUAAGUCCCGCAACGAGCGCAACCCUUGUUCACUGUUGCCAGCACGUUAUGGUGGGGACUCAGUGGAGACCGCCGGGGUCAACUCGGAGGAAGGUGGGGAUGACGUCAAGUCAUCAUGCCCCUUAUGUCCAGGGCUUCACGCAUGCUACAAUGGCUGGUACAGAGAGUGGCGAGCCUGUGAGGGUGAGCGAAUCUCGGAAAGCCGGUCUCAGUUCGGAUUGGGGUCUGCAACUCGACCUCAUGAAGUCGGAGUCGCUAGUAAUCGCAAAGCAGCAACGCUGCGGUGAAUACGUUCCCGGG